rnacentral:rRNA from 1 species
CAAUAGCGUAUAUUAAAGUUGUUGCAGUUAAAACGCUCGUAGUCGGAUUUCGGGGCGGGGCGACCGGUCUGCCGAUGGGUAUGCACUGGUCGGCGCGUCCUUCCUUCCGGAGACCGUUCCUACUCUUAACUGAGCGGGGACGGGAGACGGAUCGUUUACUUUGAAAAAAUACAGAGUGUUUCAAGCAGGCAACUCGCUUUGCAUGGAUUAGCAUGGGAUAAUGAAAUAGGACUUUGGUGCUAUUUUGUUGGUUUCGAACACCGAAGUAAUGAUUAAUAGGGACAGUCAGGGGCGACUCGUAUUCCGCCGAGAGAGGUGAAAUUCUCAGACCAGCGGAAGACGAACCACUGCGAAAGCAUUUGCCAGGGAUGUUUUCACUGAUCAAGAACGAAAGUUAAGGGGAGUCGAAGAUGAUUAGAUACCAU